UUCCCUUCGGGGAACAGAGUGACAGGUUUCNGCAUGGUUGUCGUCAGCUCGUGUCGUGAGAUGUUGGGUUAAGUCCCGCAACGAGCGCNACCCUUGAUCUUAGUUGCCAGCAUUUAGUUGGGCACUCUAAGGUGACUGCCGGUGACAAACCGGAGGAAGGUGGGGAUGACGUCAAAUCAUCAUGCCCCUUAUGACCUGGGCUACACACGUGCUACAAUGGAUGGAACAAAGGGAAGCAAAACCGCGAGGUCAAGCAAAUCCCAUAAAACCAUUCUCAGUUCGGAUUGCAGGCUGCAACUCGCCUGCAUGAAGCCGGAAUCGCUAGUAAUCGCGGAUCAGCAUGCCGCGGUGAAUACGUUCCCGGGCCUUGUACACACCGCCCGUCACACCACGAGAGUUGGUAACACCCGAAGUCGGUGAGGUAACCUUUUGGAGCCAGCCGCCGAA
rnacentral:rRNA from 1 species